CGGGACGGGUGAGUAAUGUCUGGGAAACUGCCUGAUGGAGGGGGAUAACUACUGGAAACGGUAGCUAAUACCGCAUAACGUCGCAAGACCAAGAGGGGGACCUUCGGGCCUCUUGCCAUCGGAUGUGCCCAGAUGGGAUUAGCUAGUAGGUGGGGUAACGGCUCACCUAGGCGACGAUCCCUAGCUGGUCUGAGAGGAUGACCAGCCACACUGGAACUGAGAUACGGUCCAG
rnacentral:rRNA from 1 species